rnacentral:rRNA from 1 species
UGCGUAGGCGGAUCAAUAAGUCAGUGGUGAAAUCUCUCGGCUCAACCGGGAAACUGCCAUUGAUACUGUUGAUCUUGAGUUCGGUUGAGGUAGGCGGAAUGUGUAAUGUAGCGGUGAAAUGCUUAGAUAUUACACAGAACACCAAUUGCGUAGGCAGCUUACUAGACCGACACUGACGCUGAGGCACGAAAGCGUGGGGAGCGAACAGGAUUAGAUACCCUGGUAGUCC